rnacentral:rRNA from 1 species
UGGCCAUGCAAGUCCGUCGGGAAAUCCAUCAGCCUAACUGAUGGGCGUCCGGCGGAAACUGCGUGGCUUGGGACCGGAAGGCUCGAGGGGUACGUCCGGGGUAGGAGUGAAAUCCCGUAAUCCUGGACGGACCACCGAUGGCGAAAGCACCUCGAGAAGACGGAUCCGACAGUGAGGGACGAAAGCUGGGGUCUCGAACCGGAUUAGAUACCCGGGUAGUCCCAGCCGUAAACGAUGCUCGCUAGGUGUGGCACAGGCUACGAGCCUGUGCUGUGCCGUAGGGAAGCCGAGAAGCGAGCCGCCUGGGAA